rnacentral:rRNA from 1 species
GUCGAACGAUGAAGUUCCUUCGGGAAUGGAUUAGUGGCGAACGGGUGAGGAACACGUGAGAAAUCUGCCCUUCAUUUUGGGAUAACUCCGGGAAACCGGGGCUAAUACCAAAUACUCCAUCCCGGUGGCAUCACUGGGCUGGGAAAGAAUUUCGAUGAAGGUUGAUCUCGCGGCCUAUCAGCUAGUUGGUGAGGUAAUGGCUCACCAAGGCAACGACGGGUAGCCGGCCUGAGAGGGCGACCGGCCACACUGGGACUGAGACACGGCCCAGACUCCUACGGGAGGCAGCAGUGGGGAAUAUUGGGCAAUGGGCGCAAGCCUGACCCAGCGACGCCGCGUGAGGGAUGAAGGUCUUCGGAUUGUAAACCUCUUUCAGUGGGGAAGAAGCGAAAGUGACGGUACCCAAAGAAGAAGCACCGGCUAACUAUGUGCCAGCAGCCGCGGUAAUACAUAGGGUGCAAGCGUUGUCCGGAAUUAUUGGGCGUAAAGAGCUCGUAGGUGGUUUAUCACGUCGGAUGUGAAAUUCUGAGGCUCAACCUCGGACCUGCAUUCGAUACGGGCAAACUAGAGUGUGGUAGGGGAGACUGGAAUUCCUGGUGUAGCGGUGGAAUGCGCAGAUAUCAGGAGGAACACCAAUGGCGAAGGCAGGUCUCUGGGCCAUUACUGACACUGAGGAGCGAAAGCGCGGGGAGCGAACAGGAUUAGAUACCCUGGUAGUCCGCGCCGUAAACGGUGGGCACUAGUUGUGGGAACCUUCCACGGUUUCCGCGACGCAGCUAACGCAUUAAGUGCCCCGCCUGGGGAGUACGAUCGCAAGAUUAAAACUCAAAGGAAUUGANGGGGCCCCGCACAAGCAGCGGANCAUGCGGCUU